GUCCUUCCUUCUUGGCGCUUCUAUUGUUAAAUAUAGAUGUGUAUGUAGUGGAAGGUAUAGCAGGCCCUAUAGGGUAUUCGGGUCUCCUUCGGUGCCAUUUUUAAUUAGGUGGUAUCAUCCUCUGGGCUCGAGACAUUU
rnacentral:snoRNA from 1 species